CCUGCUCCUGGAAGUGUUGCUGGUGUGGCUGCUGUGCCACAUGUUCGCCAGUAGGUGGCAGAUAGGAGAGAGGCUGUGUUUAUGCUCAGUGUUCUGAUCUGUGAACUGUGAAUGAUUCGUAGCCUAACAAU
ensembl:snoRNA Gm23270 predicted gene, 23270